ACGGGAGGCAGCAGUGAGGAAUAUUGGUCAAUGGACGAGAGUCUGAACCAGCCAAGUAGCGUGCAGGAUGACGGCCCUAUGGGUUGUAAACUGCUUUUGUACGGGAAUAAAGUGACCUACGUGUAGGUUUUUGCAUGUACCGUAAGAAUAAGGACCGGCUAAUUCCGUGCCAGCAGCCGCGGUAAUACGGAAGGUCCGGGCGUUAUCCGGAUUUAUUGGGUUUAAAGGGAGCGUAGGCGGAUUAUCAAGUCAGUGGUAAAAUCGUGUGGCCCAACCAUACCUCGCCAUUGAAACUGUUAGUCUUGAGUGCACGCAGGGAUGCUGGAAUUCGUUGUGUAGCGGUGAAAUGCUUAGAUAUGACGAAGAACUCCGAUCGCGAAGGCAGGUGUCUGGAGUGCAACUGACGCUGAGGCUCGAAAGUGCGGGUAUCAAACAGGAUUAGAUACCCUGGUA
rnacentral:rRNA from 1 species